rfam:Shewanella putrefaciens CN-32, complete genome.
GGCCCCUUAGCUCAGUUGGUUAGAGCACACGACUCAUAAUCGUUAGGUCCACGGUUCAAGUCCGUGAGGGGCCA